GUCUGUGGCCGUACCACCUUGAAUGUGCAUGAUCUUCUCUGACCUCAGAAGGUAAGAUGGGUCAGGCCUGUUUAAUGCUUGGAUGACAAAUGACCUGGGAUAUAGGUGAAAUAGAAA
rnacentral:rRNA from 1 species